UUGAGGGAAUAAUCAAGCUCCACAAUUCACUCACAAUCUUGUCUUAUAUUCUUCUUUUUUCGUGAUAUCAGAGCUUGGUUACCUAAGAUCCAGCUCUGUUGUCUUUUUAGACUCGGUAUCAAAACAAGAGUUGCUCUUCUUUAGAACAAGGGAGUGCUGCCUCCUUGUCUCACAGCCCCUCACAGGAGCAAGAUCAAGUGCCGACGACCUCCCCAGCAGAAAUUCGAUCACCGGAAAACGUCUGUUUGAGCCCCACACGCUGUAACAAGCUUCUGUCCCUUUCUCCACGCGUCGACGCGUGACCUUCACCUUGCCAACGUCUCUCACCGGAACCUUCACCGACCAAGUCUCCACAAGCGGAUAACCCUUUCUAGACUUUGCCCAGCACUUAACACCUUUGUCUACCCUUUUCUAACAAGAGGAUAGUGGUUCGGCUACUCUGUUUUUCUUGCUACUUGAUCUGUUUUGACUCAUUCAACAUGACUGAAAAGGGAGAGAUAUCAGAUACAGGUGCAUUCAAACCACUUUUCUCUUCUAUUUCUAGUUCUCCAACUAUAACUACUGUUAAAUUGCAAGGAAGUAACAAUUAUGUAUCUUGGGCUGCCUCAGUAGAAUUAUGGUUUAUGGGACAGGGAUAUGAUGACCAUUUGGAGAAAAAUAUUAUAGAUAUUGCCCUAACAGAUCGAACAAGUUGGGCUAAGAUUGAUGCUCAAUUGUGUAGUCUUUUGUGGCACUCAUUGGAUCCUAAAUUACUUACCCUCUUUCAGUCCCAUAAAACCUGUUACAAGGUUUGGACUAAGGCCAAAACGUUGUACACUAAUGAUGUGCAACGUAUUUAUAAUUUGGUAUCUAAUAUAAUUCAUUUACAACAGAAUCAUCAGGAUAUGGCCAGCUAUUUGGGGCAGGUAGAGACACUAAAAGAUGAAUUUAAUUCUCUCAUGCCCUUCAUUGAUAGUGUUACUAAAAAGCAGUGGGACAAGUUUUUCAUAGUUCUGGCAUUAAUUGGGCUUCGUUCUAAUCUUGGUUCCGUAAGGGACCAAAUAUUAAUCAGUCCUGUUAUUCCUACAUUUGAGGAUGUUUCUGCUAGGCUUCUUUGCAUCUCUCUUAGUCAGAAUAACCCAACAGAAAGUGAGUCUUUAGUGUUGGCUGUGCGGAAUGAUAAUCAAAAGGGAACAGGUGGCUACCGAAAAAGCAAGGGCAAGAAGUCUUAUUGCACCUACUGUGAUGAAAGUGGGCGCACAAGGGAUAUCUGUUGGAUACUUCAUGGUUGUCCACCACGUACCAAUUAGUCCAACAAUGUUCGAUCAACUGCACAUAUCAUCCAAUCUAAUGCCAAUGGCCUACUUCCUCUACCUGAUGCUAAGGAGGGGGCACCAGAUUCUAUCACCUUAACUAGAGCAGAUUACAAGGAAUAUCUGCAGUACCAAACAACAGAACAAUAGCAGUCCUCUUCAUCUAGCACUUCUCACUCUGGUACUGACGCACUCUCUGAUAACUCUCAUCCCAUUCCACCAUCACCUACUAUAGUCAUGCCUUCAGCAGAAGCAGUUACACCUCCAAUUGCUCUUCGGAAAGGUAUUCGAUCAUCUCGCAAUCCUUAUCUUAUUUAUAACUUUGUGAGCUACCAUCGUUUAUCUCCAUCCUACUAUGCUUUUGUGUCCAAUGUGUCCAAUGUUUUUAUUCCUAAGACGGUUAGAGAAACAUUGGACCAUCCAAGGUGGUGAGAUGCAAUGAUUGAGGAGAUGAGUGCCCUCCAUACCAAUGGAACUUGGGACUUGUUACCUUUACCACCAGGUAAGUCUACUGUUGGAUGCCGAUGGGUUUAUACAGUUAAGGUG
rnacentral:misc_RNA from 1 species